rnacentral:other from 1 species
CGUUCCCUGCGGUGUACGUGAUCGGCCCUUUGGCGUUUGAGCCAACACUUUACUUUCGGGAACCGGUUCUGCUGAGAGCGCGACCUCUCCUUCGGGAGACUCUGUCCACUUGACGAGGAGGUUCCCACCUGCACUUGCAGGUUCAAAACCCUGGUUGUACACGGCGCGGCGGGGAAUUU